UACAGAGGUCUCAAGCGUUGUUCGGAUUCAUUGGGCGUAAAGGGUGCGUAGGUGGCGCCGUAAGUCAGGUGUGAAAUUUCGGGAGCUUAACUCCGAAACUGCAUUUGAUACUGCGGUGCUUGAGGACUGGAGAGGAGACUGGAAUUUACGGUGUAGCAGUGAAAUGCGUAGAGAUCGUAAGGAAGACCAGUGGCGAAGGCGGGUCUCUGGACAGUUCCUGACACUGAGGCAACGAAGGCCAGGGGAGCAAACGGG
rnacentral:rRNA from 1 species